rnacentral:rRNA from 1 species
AAAGUAACGAAGCGUGUGAGCCAUGUGCCGAGAAAAGCUGCUAUUGUGUAAUACGUGCCCGUACCGUAAACCGACACAGGUGGAUGAGGAGAGAAUCCUAAGGCCGACGGAAGAAGCAUUGUUAAGGAAUUCGGCAAAAUGACCCCGUAACUUCGGGAGAAGGGGUGCCUGCGAGAGCAGGCCGCAGAGAAUAGGCUCAAGCAACUGUUUAGCAAAAACACAGGUCUAUGCGAAACCGAAAGGUGAAGUAUAUGGGCUGACGCCUGCCCGGUGCUGGAAGGUUAAGAGGAGAGGUUAGCGCAAGCGAAGCUUUGAAUUUAAGCCCCAGUAAACGGCGGCCGUAACAAUAACGGUCCUAAGGUAGCGAAAUUCCUUGUCGGGUAAGUUCCGACCCGCACGAAAGGCGUAAUGAUUUGAGCACUGUCUCGACAAUGCAUCCGGUGAAAUUGAAGUACCAGUGAAGAUGCUGGUUACCCGCGCCAGGACGGAAAGACCCCAUGGAGCUUUACUCCAGUUUGAUACUGGGAUUCGGUACUGCACGUACAGGAUAGGUGGGAGACUAGGAAAUAUGGACGCCAGUCUGUAUGGAUCGCUGUUGGGAUACCACCCCUGUAGUACUGGGUUUCUAACCAGUUACCAUGAUCUGGUAAUGGGACAAUGUCAGGCGGGGAGUUUGACUGGGGCGGUCGCCUCCGAAAGGGUAUCGGAGGCGCUCAAAGGUUCCCUCAGAAUGGUCGGAAACCAUUUGAAGAGUGCAAAGGCAGAAGGGAGCUUGACUGCGACACUGACGGGUGGAGCAGGUACGAAAGUAGGACUUAGUGAUCCGGUGGUAUAAAGUGGGAUUGCCAUCGCUCAACGGAUAAAGGCUACCCUGGGAUAACAGGCUUAUCACUCCCAAGAGUUCACAUCGACGGAGUGGUUUGGCACCUCGAUGUCGGCUCAUCGCAUCCUGGGGCUGUAGCAGGUCCCAAGGGUUGGGCUGUUCGCCCAUUAAAGCGGUACGCGAGCUGGGUUCAGAACGUCGUGAGACAGUUCGGUCCCUAUCCGGCGCGGGCGGAGGAUAUUUGAGAGGAGCUGUCCUUAGUACGAGAGGACCGGGAUGGACGGACCACUGGUGUAUCUGUUGUCGACCAACGGCAUGGCAGAGUAGCCAAGUCCGGAAGGGAUAAACGCUGAAGGCAUCUAAGCGUGAAGCCCCCCUCAAGAUGAGAUAUCCCUCCUUUGGGAGUAAGACCCCUUGAAGACUACAAGGUAGAUAGGGCAGAGGUGGAAGCACAGUAAUGUGUGGAGCUGACUGUUACUAAUAGGUCGAGGGCUUAAU